rnacentral:rRNA from 1 species
UACGUAGGGGGCAAGCGUUGUCCGGAAUCAUUGGGCGUAAAGAGCUCGUAGGCGGCUUGUCGCGUCGGCUGUGAAAACCCGUGGCUCAACUGUGGGCGGGCAGCUGAUACGGGCAGGCUGGAGUUCGGUAGGGGAGACUGGAAUUCCUGGUGUAGCGGUGAAAUGCGCAGAUAUCAGGAGGAACACCGGUGGCGAAGGCGGGUCUCUGGGCCGAUACUGACGCUGAGGAGCGAAAGCGUGGGGAGCGAACAGG